rnacentral:rRNA from 1 species
UGUGAAGAAGGUCUUCGCAUUGUAAAGCACUUUAAGUUGGGAGGAAGGGCAGUAAAUUAAUACUUUGCUGUUUUGACGUUACCGACCGAAUAAGCACCGGCUAACUCUGCCGCCCGCCGCCACGGAAAUACGAAAU